UGGGGAAUUUUGGACAAUGGGCGAAAGCCUGAUCCAGCAAUGCCGCGUGUGUGAAGAAGGCCUUCGGGUUGUAAAGCACUUUUGUCCGGAAAGAAAUCCUUGGCUCUAAUACAGUCGGGGGAUGACGGUACCGGAAGAAUAAGCACCGGCUAACUACGUGCCAGCAGCCGCGGUAAUACGUAGGGUGCAAGCGUUAAUCGGAAUUACUGGGCGUAAAGCGUGCGCAGGCGGUUUGCUAAGACCGAUGUGAAAUCCCCGGGCUCAACCUGGGAACUGCAUUGGUGACUGGCAGGCUAGAGUAUGGCAGAGGGGGUAGAAUUCCACGUGUAGCAGUGAAAUGCGUAGAGAUGUGGAGGAAUACCGAUGGCGAAGGCAGCCCCUGGGCCAAUACUGACGCUCAUGCACGAAAGCGUGGGGAGCAAACAGGAUUAGAUACCCUGGUAGUCCACGCCCUAAACGAUGUCAACUAGUUGUUGGGGAUUCAUUUCCUUAGUAACGUAGCUAACGCGUGAAGUUGACCGCCUGGGGAGUACGGUCGCAAGAUUAAA
rnacentral:rRNA from 1 species